GUUUGUGUAGCUCAAUUGGAAAGAGCGUCGCUUCUACUCAGCUGAUUUCUAUGAAACAGCAUAUCUCAUUCAGCGGAGGGUGGGAGUUCGAGUCUCUCCACAAACG